ensembl:lincRNA
CUGGGUCUUUAGGUAUUGGUUGAGUUUUCCCUUGUAAACCUGGAGCUCAAUGUUGGGUUCCUUGUCAAUCAUUUCAGACCCUCCAAUGAAGUUGUUUGUAGGCGGGGUCUUAGACUGGGUGUCCAGGCAUCCGUACCACGUGACCAGGUAGAUACCGUUAAAGUCUGGAUUGUCCUGUGGGGCUUCCGUGGACAGUUUCCCGAGGAUAUGUGGGAAUAUGGCGGCACCCGCCUUCCGGGAUCAGAAAAUGACCUGUGGUGGAAAAGACCAGGACUGGUCAGCAUGGGAGCCUGUACCAUGAC